rnacentral:rRNA from 1 species
UGGGGAAUAUUGGGCAAUGGGCGCAAGCCUGACCCAGCAACGCCGCGUGAAGGAAGAAGGCUUUCGGGUUGUAAACUUCUUUUGGCAGGGACGAAACAAAUGACGGUACCUGCAGAAUAAGCUCCGGCUAACUACGUGCCAGCAGCCGCGGUAAUACGUAGGGAGCAAGCGUUAUCCGGAUUUACUGGGUGUAAAGGGCGCGUAGGCGGGAAUGCAAGUCAGAUGUGAAAGCUGAGGGCUCAACCCUCAAACUGCAUUUGAAACUGUAUGU